GGUCUCAAAAGGUCUCCCAGUCUCUCCAGAACUUGAUUUGGGUCCCUGUUCCUGCUCUGGAUGCCUAGCCCUCCAGCAGGAGUUAUAAGUUCUUGGUAGAAAGCCUUAACUUCACUGAAGAAAAUUUAGAAAUUAUGGAUGAGUACCCCCAAAUUUAAAAUCAUACAAAAACCACAGAGCUCCUGAUCCUGGCCCAUCAUUGCUUCACCCUGACGUGCCACAUGGAGGGCAUCAUCCGAGUCCUACAGGCCGCCCAGAUGCUCACAGAUAACCACCUGGCCCCCAGUGAGGAGUAUGGGCUGGUGGUACGGCUCCUCACUGGCAUUGGAAGGUACAACGAGAUGACAUACAUAUUUGAUUUGCUGCAUAAAAAGCACUACUUUGAAGUGCUAAUGAGGAAGAAGUUGGAUCCGAGUGGUACCCUGAAAACAGCCCUGCUGGACUACAUCAAACGCUGCCGUCCUGGAGACAGUGAGAAGCACAAUAUGAUUGCCCUGUGCUUCAGCAUGUGCCGGGAGAUUGGCGAGAACCACGAGGCAGCUGCCCGCAUCCAACUGAAAUUGAUUGAGUCUCAGCCCUGGGAGGACAGCCUCAAGGAUGGGCACCAGCUGAAGCAACUGCUGCUGAAGGCCCUGACUCUGAUGUUGGAUGCAGCAGAGAGUUACGCCAAGGACUCCUGUGUGCGACAGGCCCAGCACUGUCAGCGGCUCACCAA
rnacentral:sRNA from 1 species